rnacentral:ncRNA from 1 species
AGGAACUCUGGAGAACCCCGCAUGGGCGGGUGCCGAAGGUGCAAGGCGAGAGCCGAAUCUCUCAGGCAAAAGGACAGAGCGGA